CAGCCGGCCGUCCCUUCGUAUUGUCUCGCCACCGCGUGAAAUCGAAACUGAUCAUUCAUAGCCAUCUUGAAACUGAGUGUUAAACUUUCUAGAUCAUCCUUUUCGAGUAAUCUGUCCUAAUUAUCGUGUUUCGUGAAAAGUCCUCGGUGUAUCUUAGAACAGUCGUUGCGUGAAUCGGAACUACGGCCGCGGCAAGUGCAAGACACGGACUCGUUUUUGGAACUUGUUGAUUCAUGAUUCUCGAGCCCUGACGCAUGAUGUCCUUGGUCCUGCCUUUGAGUGAUCUGAUUGAAUUCUUACUCUAAGAAGUUGCGUCGUUCGUCGUAAUGUGCGAAUCCCCGGAUUAUCGUGUUUCUCGGAAACUCUUCGGUCGCGUGUGAAUUCGCAGGUCGAGUCAAAAUUCGCCUGCGGCAAAUAGAAGGGUCGGCCAUUUUGCCAUUAUUCCGGCACUUGUUGACUUAUGACUCGUGGGUCCCAAGCCGUGUCUCUUGAUGUCCUGUUUUUGAGAUUGUUAAUUAUCAAUUGAUUUUCGUCGUGUAAUGGAAAAAGUGAAUUGCCGGUACUCCAGUGCAGUUUUCGGGUUCGUGUCGGUUUGUGUGAAGUGUGAACUUUCUGUGCGAAUCGUUCGAUAAACUUUGGUCGCGGUGUUCGUUCGACUCAAGUGAUCUCGUGCAGUUCGCGGCUCCUUUUGAAUUCUCUAAGACUGAAUCUAUCGAGUGUUUUCAUUACUGCGAAUAGGAUUUCCGAUACCUGGUCGAAUUGCUGGUCUUUACUGCUACAGCUGGGUACUGGAUUGAGUGCAAAGUGCGGUUUCAGUAACGGUGUCGUGUCGCGAGUGCUUUCAGCUUGGCGUCGGGCAAUCGGAUAACCCUCUUCCGGAACCUUUGCUGUUAGCGGCUUCUCGGAACCAGUGCUGCUAGCGGCCUCUUGG